rnacentral:lncRNA from 1 species
CGCUGCACCCCCAAGCACAACCACCAUCCAGGUCUUGCCGACAGUGCCAGGCAGCUCUAUUUCUGUGCCCACUGCAGCCAGGACUCAAGGUGUCCCUGCUGUUCUCAAAGUGACUGGUCCUCAAGCUACAACAGGAACACCACUGGUCACCAUGAGACCUGCAAGCCAGGCUGGAAAAGCUCCUGUCACUGUGACUUCCCUGCCUGCCAGUGUGAGAAUGGUUGUACCCACUCAGAGUGCCCAGGGCACGGUGAUUGGCAGCAACCCACAGAUGAGUGGGAUGGCUGCAUUGGCUGCUGCUGCUGCUGCCACACAGAAAAUCCCUCCUUCCUCAGCACCCACAGUGCUAAGUGUCCCAGCAGGCACCACCAUUGUCAAGACAGUGGCUGUGACACCUGGUACAACCACUCUUCCAGCCACUGUGAAGGUGGCCUCCUCACCUGUUAUGGUGAGCA